rnacentral:rRNA from 1 species
CAGUAGCCGCGGUAAUACGGAGGGUGCAAGCGUUAAUCGGAAUUACUGGGCGUAAAGCGUGCGUAGGCGGUUCGUUAAGUCUGUUGUGAAAGCCCCGGGCUCAACCUGGGAAUGGCAAUGGAUACUGGCGAGCUAGAGUGUGUCAGAGGAUGGUGGAAUUCCCGGUGUAGCGGUGAAAUGCGUAGAGAUCGGGAGGAACAUCAGUGGUGAAGGCGGCCAUCUGGGACAACACUGACGCUGAGGCACGAAAGCGUGGGGAGCAAACAGGAUUAGAUACCCGAGUAGUCCCUGUCUCUUAUAC